UACAGAGGGGGCAAGCGUUGUUCGGAAUUACUGGGCGUAAAGGGCGCGUAGGCGGCCUUCUAAGUCGAACGUGAAAUCCCCGGGCUCAACCCGGGAACUGCGUCUGAUACUGGGAGGCUUGAGUGCGGGAGAGGGAUGUGGAAUUCCAGGUGUAGCGGUGAAAUGCGUAGAUAUCUGGAGGAACACCGGUGGCGAAGGCGGCAUCCUGGACCGACACUGACGCUGAGGCGCGAAAGCUAGGGGAGCAAACGGG
rnacentral:rRNA from 1 species